rnacentral:rRNA from 1 species
GACGAACGCUGGCGGCGUGCUUAACACAUGCAAGUCGAACGGAAAGGCCUGCUUUCCCUUGUGGAUUGCGGGUACUCGAGUGGCGAACGGGUGAGUAACACGUGAGUGAUCUGCCCCCAACUUGGGUAUAAGCCUGGGAAACUGGGUCUAAUUCCCGAUAGGACUGCAGGGUGGUGCCUGUGGUGGAAAACGAUUUUCUAGUGGUUGGGGAUGAGCUCUCGGCCUAUCAGCUGGUUGGUGGGGUAAUGGCCUACCAAGGCGGCGACGGGUAGCCGGCCUGAGAGGGUGUACGGCCACAUUGGGACUGAGAUACGGCCCAGACUACUACGGGAGGCAGCAGUGGGGAAUAUUGCACAAUGGGCGGAAGCCUGAUGCAGCGACGCCGCGUGGGGGAUGACGGCCUUCGGGUUGUAAACUCCUUUCGACCGCGAGGAAGCCACCUGGUUGGAAGGGUGGUGACGGUAGCGGUAGAAGAAGCACCGGCUAACUACGUG